CUAUAAAGGCAAACCUGUCGAAAGGCGGGGACGCAAAGCCAACGGGUCUAAACGGAAAGCAGGAUGGCCGGGUUGCA
rnacentral:ncRNA from 1 species